rnacentral:rRNA from 1 species
GGCGACUACCUACUCUCCCACUGUUACGCAGUACCAUCGGCGUGAUCAGGCUUAACUUCUCUGUUCGGAAUGGGAAGAGGUGGAACCCUGAUGCUAUA